GUUCUUCUAUCAGUGCACACCCAGAGACCCUCCUCUUCCAUGUAAAACUCUCUGCAGGGAGACGGGGUUCUGCAGGCUGGGGAGAGGAGGAGGGGAGUCCCCAGGCAUGUGGGGAGCACAGAAGAGCUGGCAGAAAGCAAAGUGUGACAGAUACUAUGAGCCAAACAUAUGGACAUGCAGAUGUUUCAGCAGGAAUGGAUGGAAGCACAGGAUAAAAUUAAAUAUAGACAUCAAGAUCUAAAUGUAUCAGUGGGUGCACAAAAGGACCCCAGGAGGGGGAAAUGGAGAAAAUUUCAGGUGCUUAUGCCUUCACGCACCCUUUUCUCUGCCAUCCUGCCCUCGUCUUCACUGUCUGCCCACUGAGACCUGGGGUCACUGCUCACUUUCAGACAGGAAAUUGAAAGACCUUUGCAAACACUUGGUCCCAUCCCUCUCAACUUCCAUUUCCUAAUCCCCAAAGGCCAACGUGGAAAUAAAAAGAUGCUUUCAUGUUGAAGGCA